rnacentral:lncRNA from 1 species
AUUUUUGGAUCGAAUUUAAAGGGGGUCAUAUUUAAGUUUGUUUUAAAACAGGGAGAUUAGCUAGAGAUCAAUCAGACUUCAUUUAGAUGGACGUGUCUGUAGAUACAAAGAAAUUUGGGGAGGGGGGAGUAAUUAAAAGAUUGGAAAGAGAAACGUAUUUUCUGUUUAUUCAACAUUUAAAAUUUAAAAUAUAACAUCUAAUUCUUCCUCGGUUUAUCUUUCUCUAUUAAGCAUAUCUUUGGUGGAAAGAAAUUCAAAAGCAAUUAAUCUAAACUCAAUAACCCUUUCGGUUAUGAUUUUUUUUUCAUACAACGAUUUGAAAGUACUCAAUUUGUCAAAGUCUUAAUCGUCAUUUAUUAAAAAAAAUGGGAAUAGAUUUAAUAGAAACAUUAAAAAAAAAAAAUUACCAUUAAAUUGCAAUUUUACAUAAGUCUAAACCUAAAAAAAGUUAUCAAUUUAAAACUUACCAAUGAAAGUCGUAUUUCCCCCUUUCUUUACCCUACAAUAAACUUUCCUAGGAUCCGUGGAUUGUGGAAUAUCGUCCACAUCUAAAACGUUCACGUAAAUUAAUGACGUCAUGUGUUAAAACAGUUAUUGGCCAAUCAAAUCGGUAUAUAAAAUUUAAUCUGCACGCGCUCAGGAUGACCCUUUAACCCGAACUCCUACGUCGUUCGGGUUAAUAAGGGUCACCUGAGCUGUGCAGAUUAAAUUCUAUAUACCGACUUGCUUGGUCAAUAACUAUAACUU